UUAUAUAAUAUAAUUCAGUAUAUUUGACUUCCAAUCAAAUUGUUUAUUUACCAGUAAUAUAAAUA
rnacentral:tRNA from 1 species